UGGGGAAUUUUGGACAAUGGGCGAAAGCCUGAUCCAGCAAUGCCGCGUGUGUGAAGAAGGCCUUCGGGUUGUAAAGCACUUUUGUCCGGAAAGAAAUCCUUGGCUCCAAUACAGUCGGGGGAUGACGGUACCGGAAGAAUAAGCACCGGCUAACUACGUGCCAGCAGCCGCGGUAAUACGUAGGGUGCAAGCGUUAAUCGGAAUUACUGGGCGUAAAGCGUGCGCAGGCGGUUUGCUAAGACCGAUGUGAAAUCCCCGGGCUCAACCUGGGAACUGCAUUGGUGACUGGCAGGCUAGAGUAUGGCAGAGGGGGGUAGAAUUCCACGUGUAGCAGUGAAAUGCGUAGAGAUGUGGAGGAAUACCGAUGGCGAAGGCAGCCCCCUGGGCCAAGUACUGACGCUCAUGCACGAAAGCGUGGGGAGCAAACAGGAUUAGAUACCCUGGUAGUCCACGCCCUAAAACGAUGUCAACUAGUUGUUGGGGAUUCAUUUCCUUAGUAACGUAGCUAACGCGUGAAGUUGACCGCCUGGGGAGUACGGUCGCAAGAUUAAAACUUAAAUGAAUUGACGGGGUCAUAGCUGUUUCCU
rnacentral:rRNA from 1 species